AUUCUACUUUCUCCGUCCAACAAAGAAUGUUUCAACUUUGACUAAAUUUGAAUGCAUCUAUACACUAAGUCAUGUCUAGAUACAUCCAAUUUUUGACGAACUUGAGACAUUUUUUGUUGGACGGAGCGAGUAGUAC
rnacentral:pre_miRNA from 1 species